GACGAACGCUGGCGGCGUGCUUAACACAUGCAAGUCGAACGGAAAGGCCCUGCUUUUGUGGGGUGCUCGAGUGGCGAACGGGUGAGUAACACGUGAGUAACCUGCCCUUGACUUUGGGAUAACUUCAGGAAACUGGGGCUAAUACCGGAUAGGAGCUCCUGCUGCAUGGUGGGGGUUGGAAAGUUUCGGCGGUUGGGGAUGGACUCGCGGCUUAUCAGCUUGUUGGUGGGGUAGUGGCUUACCAAGGCUUUGACGGGUAGCCGGCCUGAGAGGGUGACCGGCCACAUUGGGACUGAGGGACGGCCCAGACUCCUAAGGGAGGCAGCAGUGGGGAAUAUUGAACAAUGGGCGGAAGCCUGAUGCAGCAACGCCGCGUGCGGGAAGACGGCCUUCGGGUUGUAAACCGCUUUCGCCUGUGAACAAGCGUGAGUGGCGGUAAUGGGUAAAGAAGCACCGGCUAACUACGUG
rnacentral:rRNA from 1 species